rnacentral:rRNA from 1 species
AAUAGAUACCCUGGUAGUCCAUGCCGUAAACGAUGUCUACUAGCCGUUGGGGCCCUUGAGGCUUUAGUGGCGCAGCUAACGCGAUAAGUAGACCGCCUGGGGAGUACGGUCGCAAGACUAAAACUCAAAUGAAUUGACGGGGGCCCGCACAAGCGGUGGAGCAUGUGGUUUAAUUCGAUGCAACGCGAAGAACCUUACCUGGCCUUGAACAUACAGAGAACUUUCCAGAGAUGGAUUGGUGCCUUCGGGAACUCUGAUACAGGUGCUGCAUGGCUGUCGUCAGCUCGUGUCGUGAGAUGUUGGGUUAAGUCCCGCAACGAGCGCAACCCUUUUCCUAUUGCCAGCACUUCGGUGGGAACUUUAAGGAUACUGCCAGUGACAAACUGGAGGAAGGCGGGGUACGACGUCAAGUCAUCAUGGCCCUUACGGCCAGGGCUACACACGUGCUACAAUGGUCGGUACAAAGGGUUGCUACUGCGCGAGCAGAUGCUAAUCUCAAAAAGCCGAUCGUAGUCCGGAUCGC